ACGAGUGGCGGACGGGUGAGUAACACGUGGGUAACCUGCCCUUAAGUGGGGGAUAACAUUUGGAAACAGAUGCUAAUACCGCAUAGAUCCAAGAACCGCAUGGUUCUUGGCUGAAAGAUGGCGUAAGCUAUCGCUUUUGGAUGGACCCGCGGCGUAUUAGCUAGUUGGUGAGGUAAUGGCUCACCAAGGCGAUGAUACGUAGCCGAACUGAGAGGUUGAUCGGCCACAUUGGGACUGAGACACGGCCCAAACUCCUACGGGAGGCAGCAGUAGGGAAUCUUCCACAAUGGACGCAAGUCUGAUGGAGCAACGCCGCGUGAGUGAAGAAGGCUUUCGGGUCGUAAAACUCUGUUGUUGGAGAAGAAUGGUCGGCAGAGUAACUGUUGUCGUCGUGACGGUAUCUAUCCAGAAAGACCACGGCUAACUACGUGCCAGCAGCCGCGGUAAUACGUAGGUGGCAAGCGUUUUCUGGAUUUAUUGGGCGUAAAGCGAGCGCAGGCGGUUUUUUAAGUCUGAUGUGAAAGCCCUCGGCUUAACCGAGGAAGCGCAUCGGAAACUGGGAAACUUGAGUGCAGAAGAGGACAGUGGAACUCCAUGUGUAGCGGUGAAAUGCGUAGAUAUAUGGAAGAACACCAGUGGCGAAGGCGGCUGUCUGGUCUGUAACUGACGCUGAGGCUCGAAAGCAUGGGUAGCGAACAGGAUUAGAUACCCUGGUAGUCCAUGCCGUAAACGAUGAAUGCUAGGUGUUGGAGGGUUUCCGCCCUUCAGUGCCGCAGCUAACGCAUUAAGCAUUCCGCCUGGGGAGUACGACCGCAAGGUUGAAACUCAAAGGAAUUGACGGGGGCCCGCACAAGCGGUGGAGCAUGUGGUUUAAUUCGAAGCAACGCGAAGAACCUUACCAGGUCUUGACAUCUUUUGAUCACCUGAGAGAUCAGGUUUCCCCUUCGGGGGCAAAAAUGACAGGUGGUGCAUGGUUGUCGUCAGCUCGUGUCGUGAGAUGUUGGUUUAGUUCCCGCAACGAGCGCAACCCUUAUGACUAGUUGCCAGCAUUUAGUUGGGCACUCUAGUAAGACUGCCGGUGACAAACCGGAGGAAGGUGGGGAUGACGUCAAAUCAUCAUGCCCCUUAUGACCUGGGCUACACACGUGCUACAAUGGAUGGUACAACGAGUUGCGAGACCGCGAGGUCAAGCUAAUCUCUUAAAGCCAUUCUCAGUUCGGACUGUAGGCUGCAACUCGCCUACACGAAGUCGGAAUCGCUAGUAAUCGCGGAUCAGCACGCCGCGGUGAAUACGUUCCCGGGCCUUGUACACACCGCCCGUCACACCAUGAGAGUUUGUAACACCCGAAGCCGGUGGCGUAACCCUUUUAGGGAGCGAGCCGUCUAAGGUGGGACAAAUGAUUAGGGUGAAGUCGUAACAAGGUUGCCGU
rnacentral:rRNA from 1 species